rnacentral:rRNA from 1 species
UGGGGAAUAUUGCACAAUGGGCGCAAGCCUGAUGCAGCCAUGCCGCGUGUUUGAAGAAGGCCUUCGGGUUGUAAAGCACUUUCAGCGGGGAGGAAGGCGUUAAGGUUAAUAACCUUGGCGAUUGACGUUACCCGCAGAAGAAGCACCUGCUAACUCCGUGCCAGCAGCCGCUGUAAUACGGAGGGUGCAAGCGUUAAUCGGAAUUACUGGGCGUAAAGCGCACGCAGGCGGUCUGUCAAGUCGGAUGUGAAAUCCCCGGGCUCAAACUGGGAACUGCAUUCGAAACUGGCAGGCUAGAGUCUUGUAGAGGGGGGUAGAAUUCCAGGUGUAGCGGUGAAAUGCGUAGAGAUCUGGAGGAAUACCGGUGGCGAAGGCGGCCCCCUGGACAAAGACUGACGCUCAGGUGCGAAAGCGUGGGGAGCAAACAGG